CGCGUAGGCCGACAUGACAGUGCCUUGUGAAAUCCCCCGGCUUAACCGGGGAAUGGCUGGGCAUACUACAUGUCUUGAGGCAAGCAGGGGUGUGUGGAACUCUUGGUGGAGCGGUGGAAUGCGUAGAUAUCAAGAGGAACGCCGAAGGUGAAGACAGCACACUGGACUUGUCCUGACGCUGAGGCGCGAAAGCGUGGGGAGCAAACA
rnacentral:rRNA from 1 species